UCUAGGUCUAGACUCCGGGCAAAAGGAAAUAUUCUCAUGGGAGAGCUGGAGUGCUCAGGAGUGGUCUAGACUUCGAGCAUCCGUCGUCCGGAGGCGAUCUUGGUACUCUUUACUCGACGUCACACACAAUCACCUACUUUCGAGUUUUGCGAAAGUAUCUAGGACUGUCAAAACUUCAUUAUCGUCCGGACCGAAACGAAAAGAAGUUUCGUAGAACUCUCUGGUUUUAGACGUUAAAAACCGUGGUACAACAGUAGUUCGUUAUAUAAACGUCCAAACUCCAGAUUCAUCUCUUAUACUUAGAACACCUCUAUUACGUUUGGGAGUGUUUAAGGGAACUAAUAAAGUAUCGCGAAACAGGUAACUCUAAGAGAAGUAACUCUUUAACACGCCGUACCUUGUUAACGUUACUUCGACAGGUUGUACGUACUAUUUUUUAUUCUCGUUUUUAUAUCAUACUAGAUAACCUAUAACACAACUGAGUGUUCCUUUCUGGUUUUAUGUUUUUUUCCGUUUACUAACGAGACGCAACGUACGGAUGGAUCCGCUUAGAUGUACGGAUACAUUGUUUAAGUUCUACGUACCCAGACGUACAUCUCUCGUGAUAGUUUAUUAGUUCCUUAAACGCUCCCAAAUGUAAUAGAAGUAUUCUCAAUAUAACAAGCGAAUCUGGAAUCUGGACGUUUGUAUAAAGAUCUACUGUUAUACUACGAUUUUUAACGCCUAAAAACAAAGAGUGCUACGAACCUCCUUUUUGUUUCGGUUCGAUAACGAAGUUUUGUCAAACCUAGAUACAUUAGAUCGGUCGGUUGUUAGAAGUUUUCGAGUUAAAGAAACACAUAAAAUACUCAAAUACGGAAGGAAAGGGGUAAGUAAUUGUUCAACUAUACCUGAAGAUACGUCCCGUAGUCUGAGAAUUCUACCUUUUAGUGUAAUCUCGAUGUGUAUAUCAAAAACGGGAAUGAUUACCCUUUUUCCCCUAACUACUUUACCCACACGGGUACAUCUAAAUGGAAACAAUUACAACAAACGUACAAUUAUAGUCUAGACACAUACACACAUGUAUAAUGUAGAGAACGACAGUAUUGUAUACUUACGUUAUCCAAGAACUAUGAAACCCCCAAUCCAACCUCUUUAGUGGUCCUCCUAUAAACUACGGACAUCAUGCGUGUCCGACAUCAGUAACCGAACUGUUUUGUCAACACGUCCAUUCGAGUGAAUACCUGUUGCCGACGAGGCUCGACCACCUACUCUAGUUCGGAGCGACCAACAGGUUGUCUUUUUCCCAAGGCCACCCGACGUCGCUUUACGUGGGUUCUAUAUAACCCUUCGGUAAGGUAGAUUGACAGGCAGGAAGUACCUAUAGUAAUGACUUAAUCUCCAAAGGCCGUCGUCUAGUCUUCGUUCGUACUUCUACGACACCUCUGUUCGGUUCUUCUUCCUUGGCAGGUCCGUUACGUCUCACCGGGGAGACGAGUAUGAGGUACUGUCAAGAAGGGUAAUUGACUAGCCGGUUCGCUCCUAUCCCCAACUACCGUGAUCUUUUCAUCGUAGAACGGGCUAAAACAGUAACGAAGAAGCCUGGACUAAAAGUGCCAGAGUAAGAGUUAAAGGCAAUGUCGAGAGCAGACCUAAUAGAGUGUAUCUCGUUUGGCCUCACUGGAAAUACA
rnacentral:rRNA from 1 species